AAAUUACAAUAAAAUAGUGUGCCUAAGAAAAAUUGAAUUUUUUUGGGAACUUUUUUAUGAUUUUGGAUUUUUGGGUUGGAUGACUUUUAGGUGGUAACAGGUGUCUUCCUCUACUCGUAUUUGGCUGUCAAUUUUUUUCUACACUUUUAGGAGUAUUUUGUGCAAGAAAUUACAAUAAAAUAGUGUGCCUAAGAAAAAUUGAAUUUUUUUCGGAACUUUUUUAUGAUUUUGGAUUUUUGGGUUGGAUGACUUUUAGGUGGUAACAGGUGUCUUCCUCUACUCGUAUUUGGCUGUCAAUUUUUUUCUACACUUUUAGGAGUAUUUUGUGCAAGAAAUUACAAUAAAAUAGUGUGCCUAAGAAAAAUUGAAUUUUUUUGGGAACUUUUUUAUGAUUUUGGAUUUUUGGGUUGGAUGACUUUUAGGUGGUAACAGGUGUCUUCCUCUACUCGUAUUUGGCUGUCAAUUUUUUUCUACACUUUUAGGAGUAUUUUGUGCAAGAAAUUACAAUAAAAUAGUGUGCCUAAGAAAAAUUGAAUUUUUUUGGGAACUUUUUUAUGAUUUUGGAUUUUUGGGUUGGAUGACUUUUAGGUGGUAACAGGUGUCUUCCUCUACUCGUAUUUGGCUGUCAAUUUUUUUCUACACUUUUAGGAGUAUUUUGUGCAAGAAAUUACAAUAAAAUAGUGUGCCUAAGAAAAAUUGAAUUUUUUUGGGACCUUUUUUGUGAUUUUAGAUUUUUGGGUUGGAUGACGUUUAGGUGGUAACAGGUGUCUUCCUCUACUCGUAUAUGGCUGUCAAUUUUUUUCUACACUUUUAGGAGUAUUUUGUGCAAGAAAUUACAAUAAAAUAGUGUGCCUAAGAAAAAUUGAAUUUUUUUGGGAACUUUUUUAUGAUUUUGGAUUUUUGGGUUGGAUGACUUUUAGGUGGUAACAGGUGUCUUCCUCUACUCGUAUUUGGCUGUCAAUUUUUUUCUACACUUUUAGGAGUAUUUUGUGCAAGAAAUUACAAUAAAAUAGUGUGCCUAAGAAAAAUUGAAUUUUUUUGGGAACUUUUUUAUGAUUUUGGAUUUUUGGGUUGGAUGACUUUUAGGUGGUAACAGGUGUCUUCCUCUACUCGUAUUUGGCUGUCAAUUUUUUUCUACACUUUUAGGAGUAUUUUGUGCAAGAAAUUACAAUAAAAUAGUGUGCCUAAGAAAAAUUGAAUUUUUUUGGGAACUUUUUUAUGAUUUUGGAUUUUUGGGUUGGAUGACUUUUAGGUGGUAACAGGUGUCUUCCUCUACUCGUAUUUGGCUGUCAAUUUUUUUCUACACUUUUAGGAGUAUUUUGUGCAAGAAAUUACAAUAAAAUAGUGUGCCUAAGAAAAAUUGAAUUUUUUUGGGAACUUUUUUAUGAUUUUGGAUUUUUGGGUUGGAUGACUUUUAGGUGGUAACAGGUGUCUUCCUCUACUCGUAUUUGGCUGUCAAUUUUUUUCUACACUUUUAGGAGUAUUUUGUGCAAGAAAUUACAAUAAAAUAGUGUGCCUAAGAAAAAUUGAAUUUUUUUGGGAACUUUUUUAUGAUUUUGGAUUUUUGGGUUGGAUGACUUUUAGGUGGUAACAGGUGUCUUCCUCUACUCGUAUUUGGCUGUCAAUUUUUUUCUACACUUUUAGGAGUAUUUUGUGCAAGAAAUUACAAUAAAAUAGUGUGCCUAAGAAAAAUUGAACUUUUUUGGGAACUUUUUUAUGAUUUUGGAUUUUUGGGUUGGAUGACUUUUAGGUGGUAACAGGUGUCUUCCUCUACUCGUAUUUGGCUGUCAAUUUUUUUCUACACUUUUAGGAGUAUUUUGUGCAAGAAAUUACAAUAAAAUAGUGUGCCUAAGAAAAAUUGAAUUUUUUUGGGAACUUUUUUAUGAUUUUUGAU